rnacentral:rRNA from 1 species
ACUCGUAGACUCCUACGGGAGGCAGCAGGUGGGGAAUUAUUGCAACGAAUGGGGGAAACCCUGAUGCAGCCAUGCCGCGUGUGUGAAGAAGGCCUUCGGGUUGUAAAGCACUUUCAGCGAGGAGGAAAGGGUGUGUGCUAAUACCAUACAUCUGUGACGUUACUCGCAGAAGAAGCACCGGCUAACUCCGUGCCAGCAGCCGCGGUAAUACGGAGGGUGCGAGCGUUAAUCGGAAUUACUGGGCGUAAAGCGUGCGCAGGCGGUUUGUUAAGCGAGAUGUGAAAGCCCCGGGCUCAACCUGGGAAUUGCAUUUCGAACUGGCAAGCUAGAGUCUUGUAGAGGGGGGUAGAAUUUCAGGUGUAGCGGUGAAAUGCGUAGAGAUCUGAAGGAAUACCGGUGGCGAAGGCGGCCCCCUGGACAAAGACUGACGCUCAUGCACGAAAGCGUGGGGAGCAAACAGGAUUAGAUACCCUGGUAG